AUGAUAGAUCAAAAUCUUAGUAUCCUAAGCUGGAAUGUCUGAGGCUUAAAUUGUCCCGACCGGCGAGCAACAAUCCUAGAAACAAUCAUUGCUACUCCAUGUCACUUGGUCUGCCUGCAGGAGACCAAGCUAGAGCUCGUCGACCCUUUCAUCGCUUCGUACUUGGGAGGUCAAAGAUUGAAGAAUUUUUCCCAGCACCCUGCUGAUGGUACACGGGGUGGCAUACUUCUCUGGGAUGACGAUACUGUGGACGUGAAGGAUGUUUGCAUUGGAGCCUUCUUCCUCUCCCGCAAUGUCACGAUCAAUGCAUCCAAUAAAACCUUUAAGCUAACAACGGUCCACGGACCAAUGAGAAGCAACCUCAAGGAUGCUUUCUUCCAGGAGCUGGUUGGCGAGAAACCUCCCCAUGGUUCAAAGUGGCUAGUCACUGGUGACUUUAACCAAAUAUAUCGUGCCAGAGACAAGAAUAGAGAAAACAUCGACCAAGUCCUUGUCCGCUUCCGUAAUGCACUGAAUACUUGCGAGCUCAAAGAGAUUCACUUGAAAAACAGAAAAUUCACUUGGAGUAAUGAACGGAGUGACCCGGCCUUAAGCAAGCUCGACUCUUUCUUUUGUAAUGAAUAUUAGGACCUCGAUUUUGGCACUCACCUUAUCCACGCACUCUCGUCGUCAUUGUCCGAUCACUGCCCCCUCCUCCUUGCAAAUGACAACGGCCUGAGGAGAUCAAAGUCCUUCCGUUUUGAAAACUUUUGGAUCAAAAUGCCUGGGUUCAAAUAGGUUGUCCAGGAAGCUUGGAAUAAGAAUAUUAAUCACACAGAUCCUUACCACAUCAUUUUUCACAAGUUAAAAGAAAAUAGUCAAAACUUGAGGAGAUGGAGCGAGACGAUCUUCGGGCACUCGAAGGUGCAACUCCACAUGGCUCUGGAAGUUAUCCUUCGCCUGGAUGUGGCUCAAGAACUUCGGCUCCUUAGCACUGACGAGCGAGAUCUACGGAAGCACCUCAAACGGAAGGUGGUUGCCUUGGCCAUUAUGGAGUGUGCACGGAAUCGACAAAGCUCGCGAAUUACCAACCUAAAAGAUGGAGACGCCAUCACCCGUUUUCUCCACCUACGGGCCAAUCAUAGAAGAAGGAAGAACUUCAUCGACCGCCUCAAGCAUAACAACGAAUGGGUUACUGCCCAUGAUCAUAAGAAGGCCAUCAUCCAAGAUCAUUUCGCGAAGGUCACCAAACACAGUCUACCGCGUCGCACCGAUUUCAACUGGGACAAUAUCCCGGUCCCUGAGUGCGACCUCACGGGCCUUGGAGUGGCCUUCAUAGAGAAGAGGUGA
rnacentral:rRNA from 1 species